rnacentral:rRNA from 1 species
CACACUAUCAUUAACUGAAUCCAUAGGUUAAUGAGGCGAACCGGGGGAACUGAAACAUCUAAGUACCCCGAGGAAAAGAAAUCAACCGAGAUUCCCCCAGUAGCGGCGAGCGAACGGGGAGCAGCCCAGAGCCUGAAUCAGUGUGUGUGUUAGUGGAAGCGUCUGGAAAGGCGCGCGAUACAGGGUGACAGCCCCGUACACAAAAAUGCACAUGCUGUGAGCUCGAUGAGUAGGGCGGGACACGUGGUAUCCUGUCUGAAUAUGGGGGGACCAUCCUCCAAGGCUAAAUACUCCUGACUGACCGAUAGUGAACCAGUACCGUGAGGGAAAGGCGAAAAGAACCCCGGCGAGGGGAGUGAAAAAGAACCUGAAACCGUGUACGUACAAGCAGUGGGAGCCUCUUUAUGGGGUGACUGCGUACCUUUUGUAUAAUGGGUCAGCGACUUAUAUUCUGUAGCAAGGUUAACCGAAUAGGGGAGCCGAAGGGAAACCGAGUCUUAACUGGGCGUUAAGUUGCAGGG